UUUUUUAGAGUAGAAAAUAGAGAUAUACAUUUGAGAGAAACCCUUCUCUAUUUUAGAGUAAGAUAUAGAGCUAUACAUUGGAGAUGGUCUUACAAUCAUCAACAAACUUUUGCUCGUUUUUUUUUUCGUCAGUUGGGUUCCUUAGAACAUCUCCAUCUUUGGUUUGUUAUCAAUU
rnacentral:sRNA from 1 species